GAGUUGCCUCUCUCUGCAGAGCAGCCAUAAAGUGUCCCAGCUGUGGCUAGAAUGGGCUGAACUUCUGUGACCUGCAGUGACAGGAGAUUGACUCAAAACACAGGGACUUCCGGUCUAGCACAGACAUCAAAGAGAAGAGAGGAACGACCGCUCCGGUAAUUCCGAGCAGUGUGGGGGUUUUUUAGGGGUCCGUAAAGACUCUACGGGCCUCAAAACCUCAAGGGGGAUACCUUGGGGGACAGAGCACACAGCGGCGCCCAGGUGUGCUCUCCUGUUUCUCGGGUUUUAAAUAAAAAUCCGAGGACAGGAUAGAGCUGCGGGCGUGAAAGGGGAAGCACCUCAGACCCCGUGCUGUGCAGUCUCAAGCUUCUGAUGGAAAGUGCUAAACUUCCACGAGAAAACUGAAUUCCUAGAAAUACGACACGUUUAAAAACUGACUACUGUAAGGAAUUCAAGGAAUUUGGUUAGCUAAGGGACGUAAAAAGGGAGUCCGUCCCGGCUGCAGUGUCAAAGAUGGAGCAGAGAACAAAGACAUGAGAACAAGACGGAAGUGAAAGUUUCCUGCUGAGUAAGUGUAAGCUGAAAGACCUCAGAAGUAACGCACUGAGGCAAGUAUCAUUUUAUAACGUUGGAAGAGGGACAGAGCUUAAAAAGAACUUUGUAUCUCCUUCUUCUCUGAGAAGACUUGAUGACUGGGUCGGAGAAACAGUAACAUGUUCAAACCUCAAACCAGAGACUUGGUUACUUUGUAUAGACCCCUGUAUAAAGCUAAGGGGGAGGUCUGCAACAGCGUAAGGGACUGACAAGGGAAAGUGGAGCAGUUAGAAGUAUCUUUGUUCCUUAUUUUCCUUAUUUCCCCUGGAUUUAAUGGAUAUAGAAUAGGCUUGACAUUAAACUGUGACUAUCCUCAUCCCCCCCUGGAGUACGAAAGGAGGAAAGAAGACUAACUGGGGGAAUAUCCUAUAUUUAUAUCUAUAUUUUUUGAGGAUUAAGCCUCCAAGUGGCUAGAAGUUUAUGUUCCAACUCCCUGAGCUGAUUACAGUUAUAUUUGGAUUUAUGGACUUAUAUGGACUUGCUUGGACUUUUAUUUGGACUUUUAAGUUGGACUGAGUUUAUAAGAGGUGGAAGAAAAGAAGAGGACAGAAGAGGACAGAAGAGGACCCUCAAACUGAACAGUAUUUGAGUUAUUGUUAGAUGGGCUUUUUAUGAUGAACUAAACCUUUAAACUGUGAUACAAUGUUUAUAUAUCUUUGAUGUGUACUAUUCCCUAUCUCUCUCCCACUCUCUUCAGAAUAAUAUUUGAUAUAUAGCUGUCAUACAGUUGAUAUAGGUGCAAAGGGGUGAAUUUCAAAGUGUUUGGUUAAGAUAAGAAUUUUAAGUUAAUGUGAGGAAAAGGGAAAGAAAGACCCCUAGAGGCCAUUAUCUAAAUCACAAUUUCUGACAAACACGAUUUCCAGCUCUCUGGUGUAACUACCCCCCCAGUGGUGAAAGCAGUUAAUAUUUAUUUAUUUGUAUAAAAAUGUCAUGAAAAAAUGGGGGGGGGGGAAUUGGAGGAACUCCAGGUGACCGAAGACAGUCAAAACAGGAUGAAAUUAAAAAUUUAGAUAUUCUUUGGUUGAAAAUAAAGGAAGAAUUCAAACAAAAUGAACAAUACAUGGAGAAAAAAAUGGUGGAAGUGCAAGAAACCCUGGAUAAAAAAAUAGAGGGAGUGGUGGGGGGAAUUGUCAAGUAAAAUAAAGGCCUUAACAGUUAGAUCUAAAACAACAGAAGAGCUAGCGAAAUGAACUCAGAAGGAAGUUAAGGAAAAUAGAAAAGAGUCAGACAAAAGAGGACUUGGUUGAGGUCAGCAAAAUACAAGAGCAGAUCUGGGACAAUAUGGCUCUGAUGGAGAUGAGGCAGAAACAGAAAAACCUAAAAUUCAGAGGGGUAGUAGAAGAGCCAAAUGAAGAUAUUAAAACAAAAAUGAUUAAAGAACUGGCAAGAUGGAUGGAUAUGAAGGAAGAAGAAAUUGAGUACACAAUUGAGAAUGUGUUUAGAAUUAAGGUGAGAUCUGUAAAAGCUAAAACUAAAAAACUACCUGGAGAUUGCUUGAUGAUCUUUAAUUCACUAGAGAUGUGAAAUGCAAUUCUGAGAAUGAGUUAUAAUAACAGGUUAUUAAUUGAUGGAAGACCAAUUAUCAUUUGUAAAGAGAUUCCUAUUAGAUUCCUACGAAAAAGAGACGGGUACAAACAACUGGUGACGUUACUGAAGAAAAACGGAAUGUUUGACUCAAAACACACAGAGCAGCAACAGUUGUUGGCAAGAACACCUGGUGCACUUUGGUUUAUGAACUGAACCACGAGUUCAAAUAAGGUUAUGCAAACUGAACUGACAGGUCAGUUUGAAAGAGAAUUUAACAUUGGUAUAAGGGAGAUAUUAUCCCCGCUAAUUACAGUAAUUUUAUGGAUGUCUAUAACCUGUUCCAGGAGUAUGUUUAAGCUGUGAAUCAGUGUAAAAGGCCAGCUAAUAUACACAACGGGAUAUUUACUCUCUUCUUUUUGACAUCUUUUUUUUGAAAUGCUUGAGGAUAUGAUUGUAGCACGUGAAAGUAAAGUGGUACCCACUUAGAGUGAAACAAGGAUCAGACAGACACAGCUUUUGGAGAAAAAGAAGGUGAGGUUUUAUUGCUGAGCAAUAAUGGACCCAGUUGGAAUCUUUUCCAAAAGACUGGGACCCAGAAGCAUACAAUUCCUGAGGUUAUAUACCUGAGCAAAUUACAGAUCAUGAGACAAUCAUGAAACAGUCACGCACGCCAGCGAAAAAUGACGAAUUAGCGCUUCUUCUUGCCAUGCUCCCAGCUCCUGGCCGAGCACAGAGUUCACUCCCAAUUUCUGCUUUCCAUUGUCUGCACAAAUGAUGUACAAUGAUGCACAGUCUGACCUUUUCCCUAGUUCUGACAGAACUGAGACUCAGGGAGGGAAUCUCCUGGGCUACCUCCCCCUAUGCAUUCUGCAUAGUUUUUGUGGUUUGGCCCUUCCUGUUCUGUGGACUAUUUUAGCCUGCAUUUGAGGGGGAUUUUGUACCAGUGUCUCUGAUUCAUGUCUUCCCCUUUCCUUCAGGGUACAAGGAUGUUUUCUUGGUGAAAGGUCGGUUCUAGACUUGCUGUUCCAAGCAGUUUGCAGUUAGCUAAGGCAAAGCUUUCCUUGAUUCAAAAAUGGAUUAUAAAAUCACUGUGAGCCCUGUUAUGUGUGAGCAUUUAUGAAUAUAUUGAUUAUUGAUAACUGAUUAUAUGAAUAGCAUAAGGGUAGCCCCCCUUUCUCGCUUCAUGAUCACUCCUGUUUUAGGAGCUACCCCUUAAAAGGGGACCUCUCAAUACUUUAAAUAAAUAACUUGGCAGGCUUCCAUCAUCUGCAUGCUCCCCUCUUGUACUAAAUAUGAUUUCCAGAUGUGGAUGGAAGAAUUGGACUAAAUGAAAACAAGAAGUUAAUUCAAAAAUGGAUUAUAAAAUCACUGUGAGCCCUGUUAUGUGUGAGCACAUAUGAAUAUAUUGAUUACUGAUAACUGAUUAUAUGAAUAGCAUAAGGGUAGCCCCCCUUUCUCGCUUCAUGAUCACUCCUGUUUUAGGAGCUACCCCUUAAAAGGGGACCUCUCAAUACUUUAAAUAAAUAACUUGGCAGGCUUCCAUCAUCUGCAUGCUCCCCUCUUGUACUAAAUAUGAUUUCCAGAGGUGGAUGGAAGAAUUGGACUAAAUGAAAACAAGAAGUUAAUGUUCUGUAUCACCAUGUACACUAGUGACCAUGGUUUUGUCCCCACUAGGGCACAUGUGAGUCACUGUUUUGAUGAGCGCAUUAGUGUGUCUUAUCAAUACGAAAGCACUUCCAGGUUUAUGUCUCCAAAAUCUAUCUUGGUGUGUCCUGUCCACAUUAGUGGGUAGUGCUAGAUGGGAUUGUUGGGGGGAAACAAAUAAACUUCCUUCUCCUGAACCUCUAGCUAAUGCAUGCAUUACUUUAAACUACACAAGAGCACUGUUUGUGUAGCAAGCAAGCCAGCAUUGUUGGGAUUCGCAGGAUACUGAGUAAGUCUGCAGGCUUCAACAGGAUGAUGCAAUACUCUGUGAAGUGCUGGGUCAGAGUGACUCAGCAGGAGUGUGAUUAAUGUGAUUGGCUAUCACCUGUUUUAAAAAGGAAAGCCUGUUCAACAGUAACCGUGGUUGUGGUGGUUGUGGUUGUGGUGGUGGUGGUGGUGGUGCUGUGGUGGAGAGUAUUCGUUUGCCUUAAGGAGCAGGUACUCUGUAUGGACUGUUUUUGUAAACACCUGUAUAUAGCUCACAUUAAAAAGACUGCACUGGAAAACCCUGGGACUCUGAGCGUUUCUGCUAAAAGCGCCACGAGGAAUCGCGACAGGGUUAUGGGCCCAGCACGCUUCCGCUGCGCAAGAGUACAGGUGGCAGUUAUCUAGCCGUGGGUGCUGGAGGUGAGCUGCAGGGAUGGAGCAGUCCAGAACUGGCGUGUUGCUGGAGAAGCUGACGGCCACGAACUACAGCAUCUGGUCGGUCCGCAUACAACACUUCCUCAAGCGUGAGGGCCUGUGGAAGGUGGUGGAAACUCCACCGCAGCCCCCUGAGGAGGAUGAGGACGACGAUGAAAAGCUGGCACUAGCAGAGGCCCAGCUAGAAAAGGAUGAGAAAGCUUUGGCUACGAUCAUCCUUGGAGUGGACAACAGCCAGCUAGUCUACGUAGCUGAUAAGGUGACGGCAAGUGAGGCG